GGAGGCCCAUCUUGAUUUGUCCAAUAGCCUGCACAUCUUUUGCUGCCACUAUGCCUUCAUUCCACUCAUUCAGCUCCACCUCAACAUAUUCACAGAUGGCUGGGAUGACCAUCCCCUUUCAACAGAGGGGAACCUCUCCCCCAAUCAGCUGUGGCACUUGGGGCAGGAGUAUCAUUCCCAGGAGUGUGACCAGGAUCUAGACAUUCCUCAUAUAGACUGGGAAAGCAGUGGUCUUGUCCAAAGUGACCCCAACUCCGGUAUCCAGGUUCCUGAAACUGAGUGCCCACUAAACCCAGUGGAAUUUGCAGGACUAAAAGCUGUUGUGGAUCCAAUGAGAUCAACAAGUCUUGGUGCUGAUGUUUAUGUAGCUGCACUUCAGUACAUGAACAGCAUUGGCUAUAUGUAAAGUAAGCCCUUACCCUUUGGGUUUGGACACUGGUUACACGGCAUGGACAACACCCCCCCCUCCUUCCCUUCCCUGAGAGUUUGUAUAAUAGUCACAGUGCUGCAUUGUUUUGUUGCAAGGUUACAUUAUAGCAGGCACAAUGAAGGUUUUAAGAAUUAAACAAGAUGACUGAAAAUAUGUUUUCAUUACCUUGAUGUGCUAUGAACUAUAAAAGUGAGAAUGGAAAAUGAAUUAUGUUAAAUCCUCAUAUUCAAUUGAACAUCAUUCUUUGAAUACGCUUAUUUCACCCAUUGCUGUAUUUAUUGUGACAAUUAUUGUGUAUUGUACUUUUCCAUAUGUAUCUACUGAAAGUGUUACGUUUGCCUGAGUGUAUUAAAAGGUGUCUUCAG